rnacentral:rRNA from 1 species
CGGCCGCGUCGACAUUGGAAACGAUAGCUAAUACCGCAUAACAAUGGAUGACCCAUGUCAUUUAUUUGAAAGGGGCAAAUGCUCCACUACAAGAUGGACCUGCGUUGUAUUAGCUAGUAGGUGAGGUAACGUCUCACCUAGGCGACGAUACAUAGCCGACCUGAGAGGGUGAUCGGCCACACUGGGACUGAGACACGGCCCAGACUCCUACGGGAGGCAGCAGUAGGGAAUCUUCGGCAAUGGGGGCAACCCUGACCGAGCAACGCCGCGUGAGUGAAGAAGGUUUCGGCUCGUAAAACUCUGUUGUUAAGGAAGAAUACUUGAGGUAGUAACUGGCCUUGAGAUGACGGUACUUAACCAGAAAGCCACGGCUAACUACGUGCCAGCAGCCGCGGUAAUACGUAGGUGGCAAGCGUUAUCCGGAAUUAUUGGGCGUAAAGCGCGCGUAGGCGGUAAAUAAGUCUGAUGUGAAAGCCCCCGGCUCAACCGGGGAGGGUCAUUGGAAACUGUUUUACUUGAGUACAGAAAGGAGGUGAUCCAGCCGCACCUUCCG